rnacentral:rRNA from 1 species
UACGGAGGGGGUUAGCGUCGUUCGGAAUUACUGGGCGUAAAGCGCGCGUAGGCGGACCAGAAAGUUGGGGGUGAAGUCCCGGGGCUCAACCCCGGAACGGCCUCCAAAACUCCUGGUCUUGAGUUCGAGAGAGGUGAGUGGAAUUCCGAGUGUAGAGGUGAAAUUCGUAGAUAUUCGGAGGAACACCAGUGGCGAAGGCGGCUCACUGGCUCGAUACUGACGCUGAGGUGCGAAAGUGUGGGGAGCAAACAGG